GACGUAGGGCGCGAGCAUUAUCCGGAUUCACUGGGCGUAAAGCGCGUUGAGGCGGCUCCGUAAGUUGGGCGUGAAAGCCCCGGGCUUAACCCGGGGAGGCCGUCCAAUACUGCGGGGCUUGAGGGCAGCAGAGGGAGGUGGAAUUCCCGGUGUAGUGGUGAAAUGCGUAGAUAUCGGGAGGAACACCCGUGGCGAAGGUGGCCUCCUGGGCUGCUCUUGACGCUGAAGGCGAAAGCCAGGGGAGCGAACGGG
rnacentral:rRNA from 1 species